CCUACGGGAGACAGCAGUCGGGAAUAUUGCGCAAUGGAGGAAACUCUGACGCAGUGACGCCGCGUGCAGGAAGCAGGUUUUCGGAGUGUAAACUGCUUUAGACAGGGAAGAAAAAAGACAGUACCGGUACAGUAAGCUACGGCCAACUAAGUGAGAGCAGCCGCGGUAGUACGUAGGGGCCAAGCGUUAUCCGGAUUUAUUGGGUGUAAAGGGUGCGUAGACGGGAAGUCAAGUUGGUUGUGAAACCCCUCGGCUUAACUGAGGAACUGCAACCAAAACUAACUUUCUUGAGUGCUGGAGAGGAAAGUGGAAUGCCUAGUGUAGCGGUGAAAUGCGUAGAUAUUAGGAGGAACACCAGUGGCGAAGGCGACUUUCUGGACAGUAACUGACGUUGAGGCACGAAAGUGUGGGGAGCAAACAGGAUUAGAUACCCGAGUAGUC
rnacentral:rRNA from 1 species